UACGUAGGGGGCGAGCGUUGUCCGGAGUUACUGGGCGUAAAGCGCACGCAGGCGGUCUGCUAAGUUUGGAGUGACAGUUGGUGGCUUAACUGCCAAAGUGCUUCGAAAACUGACAGACUUGAGGGCUUCAGAGGGACACGGAAUUCCGGGUGGAGUGGUGAAAUGCGUAGAGAUCCGGAAGAACACCGGUGGCGAAGGCGGUUCUCUGGGCCUUACCUGACGCUGAGGAGCGAAAGCGUGGGGAGCGAACAGG
rnacentral:rRNA from 1 species